rnacentral:rRNA from 1 species
UACGGAGGUUGCAAGCGUUGUUCGGAUUAACUGGGCGUAAAGGGAGCGCAGGCGGCUUGGUAAGUCUAAAGUGAAAUCCCAGAGCUCAACUCUGGACGGUCUUUAGAUACUGCCUGGCUUGAGUACGUGAGAGGAGAUUGGAAUUCCAGGUGUAGCGGUGAAAUGCGUAGAUAUCUGGAGGAACACCGGUGGCGAAAGCGGAUCUCUGGCACGUUACUGACGCUGAGGCUCGAAAGCGUGGGGAGCAAACGGG